CGUCUCCGCUGGACUACCAAAGCCUCUCCACGUCUCCGCUGAACUACCAAAGCCUCUCCACGUCUCCGCUGGACUACCAAAGCCUCUCCACGUCUCCGCUGAACUACCAAAGCCUCUCCACGUCUCCGCUGAACUACCAAAGCCUCUCCACGUCUCCGCUGAACUACCAAAGCCUCUCCACGUCUCUGAUGAACUACCAAAGCCUCUCCACGUCUCUGCUGAACUACCAAAGCCUCUCCACGUCUCUGCUGAACUACCAAAGCCUCUCCAUCAUCCCUUAGGCGUGAGUGUGGACAGCUCGUGAUUGUGGUCCAUCGUCUCUGCGGGCUUGUUGAGGGGAACUUUUUGGCACAGUGAUCCAUGUAGGGUCGAAGCAGAGGAACCAAAAUCAGACUUUCAGUCUCCUCGGUGUCUCUCCAUAUCACUGUAUGCUGUGUAUGCUCUUCUGUAUCAGCCGUGCCACAAGGAUGCGCUGUUUUCUUUCAAUUCAAAGCUAAAUACAGUGUGACGUAGCCUACUUGGCAGUCUAUGGGACAGUCUCAAGCCACCCGUUUUUCAUCCAAAAUAUCUUAAAUUGUGUUCCGAAGAAGAAUGAAGCUUUUAUGAAUGACAUGAGGUAAGUGAUCAAUAACAAGAUUUAAAUUUGAGUUAAUUUUAGCUUAACUUGGCUGUGCAAAGAUAACUAAAUGCUUAACUCCUACAAAGGAAGUUCAGUGUUUGUGUUUGGUACAACAGCUCUGUAUAAAAGAGAGAAAGAGUUUUUACCCUAAUAGGCCUAAUUUCUUGUGUGUGCAUGCCCUAUGAUUACAGUGACGAUUGAGGGACUGGUGUAAUCCAGCACACAUUGCAGUUUAAUGAUUGUUUGCGGAGCUGAUACUAUGGGUUGGAGGGGUACAGUAUAAUGCCAACAUGUUACAAUGUAGGCUUUGCUGUUCUUUUACAUAGAAAAUUGCUAUUUAGGUCAAGAAGGUUGUGGGCAGGAGCCCAUUUUCUUGGAAGAGAAAAGCAUAAGCACAGCACAACAGAAUGCCAUCCUUUGGGAUUUUGGGAAGCAGCACGACAUAGCCAUGUCUGGGAAUGCUGUUAAAGUACCAUAAUUGGGUCUCAUACAGUAGAUGGAAAUUUUGUUACUUUGAAAAUCUCUUAAAAAGUCCUUUUAUGAAUAUAUAAUAUAAAUUUGGGUCGUUUGGGUCAGUGUGUGUUUAUGCUGUGCAGGAGGUUACUUGUGUUUGUUGUAUUUCCAGCAUUCCCCCUCAUGACUCGCUGAGAAACUGACUUUAUUAUUUCUUAAAGUCCAUGAUUCAGAUUUUCACGGAGUCCCCAGCAACGCCAGAUCCUGCAACCCCACUCGUUCACAAUCACCAGAGUUCUGACAGUUCUCACAUGUCUGCAAUAAUCAACCACAGUAUAAAGCCACCUUCCUGUCACCACCUCCGAGUCUGCUCUUCUUCUUACUUCUUGCAUCAGCUUACCUGAUUAGUUACCUGAUCUUCUCUAUGAUCCCUUCAUCUUCACUCAUCUGCAAAGUAUUCUGGAUUCUGGAUAAGCUAGAAUUACUGAACUAUUAUGACUUACUCUUUCUCCUCUGAAACCUCUCUGUUGUGGAUAUUUACAUGUAUUGUCUCCUUCACCCUCCUCCUGUUUGCCCAUGUUACUGGAGUCCUCUUUUCCAAUAUCGGACUCUCAUCACUUAAUCAAGCGAGCGAGAAAGAGAGAUGGGAGGAGAUGUGAAGAGAGAGAGAGACAGAUCAGGUUAGAUCACCCCCAUAUGUGCACCCUACUUUGCUUAAAACUGGUUGAUCUUUCUGAACCUCUUUCAAGGAUUGGAUUUAAGUAUACAAAUAUAUUUACUAUUAGAAAUAAACAAUUCUUUAUGUUUCUAAAGCAGUGCACAUGUAAAUUUUACAUUUUGCUUGCUUGCUGUUGAUGCAGCCUUGUUUAGCAUUCAUACAUCCAGAUGUAGUUGUGGAGAUGCGUUCCUGCAUGUUGUUGUGAGGUCUGGGACACAGGCUUCUGGCGCCGCAUGUUCUUCAUUAAACUUUGUUGCACCAUUUUAUCAUAGACGUCUCAGCACUCAUGCCAAGCACACACGUUAUAUGGACCAUUGCAUGAUUAAUACUCUAAGGCAAGUUGUAUGUGUGUGUGUGUGCUUAUGUGUGCCUCUUUGCUCCUUACUGUUUCACGUUACCUGAAUCAGCAAAUAAAACCUUGUCUUGACAGAGGCACACAAAUCAUCAAAUUGUACGAUAAAGUCAUCCAAUCCAGUUCUGGUGAGCGGCCCCUUCUAACACUGAGUCUUCCUCGGAGACCUUCAUUCAGCCAGACACAAUAGAACUGAGCCGUGCGCUGGCACUGAGGCAGAAACCAGAUACUCUUCAAACCUCCUGAGCACCUCACGCUUUCUCACCACUCUCACAUGCCUAUAGUUACUCAGUGUAUUUUAACACGAACACAUUUGACAGAAUGUAUAUUGGCCCUUAUAAAAAAAAGGGGGGUAUGAACAUUAUCAAUUUAUGUAUAAUGUAUAUUUGAUUUAUAACAAUAAUUAUUUUUUAU